GUUUGAUAUUCAUCAGAUUGGCAACAGUCUGGUGUCAUGUAGAGUUAGAAUCUGAAGACUAUUUUUUCCCUUUAGAGGCGACGCUGAACUACUGCAAGUUGGCAGACGAGUGUCACCACGACCGCGUGCCGGUGUGCGGGCAGGACGCCAGCGGCAACUUCAAGGCCUUCAGGGACGACUGCGACCUCUACGAGUACUGCUGCGAUGAGAAGAAACAAUAUCGUCACGUAGAAAUAGACAUUUGUGCCGGGGAUCCUGCGCUUUCGCGGUAGAAUAACUAAUGUAACCAUUUUAUUAUAUUUUGAAUUCAGCUAUCUUCUACAUUUGUACAUAAUAUACUUAAUGAUACACUAGAAAAUCGGCCAUGAACUGCAUUAUUGUAAGCUUCUUAUAUUUAUGUCAUAUAAAACUACCUGUCGUUAAAAAAAGUGUAAUAGGAUUAUUGAAGUGAAACGGAUGAAGCUGAAAGCGUUUCCUGCAGUUAACGAGAGCACCGCGGGGACGGCGCACUGGCGCAGCUCGUUAGAAAAUGCACACUCAAAGGAAAAUUCCACUACUUCUACCUACGACUUGAGUGUGAAUUAAAAAAAAACUGGGAGAAACAAUAAAUGUUUGUCAAUUGCGUUUAAUAAAAGUAUAUAA